UACAGAGGGGGCAAGCGUUGUUCGGAAUUACUGGGCGUAAAGGGCGCGUAGGCGGCCUUCUAAGUCGAACGUGAAAUCCCCGGGCUCAACCCGGGAACUGCGUCCGAUACUGACAGGCUCGAAUCCGGGAGAGGGAUGUGGAAUUCCAGGUGUAGCGGUGAAAUGCGUAGAUAUCUGGAGGAACACCGGUGGCGAAGGCGGCAUCCUGGACCGGUAUUGACGCUGAGGCGCGAAAGCCAGGGGAGCAAACGGG
rnacentral:rRNA from 1 species